rnacentral:rRNA from 1 species
UACGUAGGGUGCGAGCGUUGUCCGGAAUUAUUGGGCGUAAAGAGCUUGUAGGCGGUUUGUCGCGUCUGCUGUGAAAUUUCGGGGCUCAACCCCGAACUUGCAGUGGGUACGGGCAGACUAGAGUGUGGUAGGGGAGACUGGAAUUCCUGGUGUAGCGGUGAAAUGCGCAGAUAUCAGGAGGAACACCGGUGGCGAAGGCGGGUCUCUGGGCCGUAACUGACGCUGAGGAGCGAAAGCAUGGGGAGCGAACAGG